rnacentral:misc_RNA from 1 species
AGUCAGGGUUCACUGUACCUCAGACCCGUGCAGCACUACACGUAUUGGUUCCUAUUCAUAGUUCAUGUUACAAAAAUAGUCGCUCCGGAUUUGGUUUUAUAUUUAUUUGAUCCUUUUGGUAUUUUGGGAUGGACGAUGAAAAGAAAAAAAGAUUCUUUAAUGCAGUUAGAGAGGAAACGAUACGACCCUGUUCAUUGCUGAAUAAACAUCUGUUAAAGUAAACGGAACAGAGUCCCAUUUAUGAACACGGUGUGAAACCACAAUGCCAGCUGUAGCCUGCCCUAUCACAGACUGCAACUAUGUCACGGAUGACCUGGAUGCCACUAUCGUCGCGGCACUCAUCACGGCUCACUCCGCUGUACACAUACCCAAACGAGAACAAUUCAAGUUUAUUUGGUAAAAAGUUGAGAAAGUUAACCGACCCACGCUCAGUGCCGCAGGAUCUAGCGAGGGGUGGGCAUAUUUCCGAUAUCGGUGGUCGGACUAUGUCAGUGCCACGAAAAUCACUGGACGAGAUAAAGUAAUCCAGCUACUAGAAUGCUGUGACGAACCAUUACGGAAAGACUUGACACGAUCAGCCGGUGUUAGUCUCCCUGACAAAACUGUGGAUGAGGUUUUAGCUGCAAUUAAAAAGCUCUCGGUACGUGAGGAAAACACUAUGGUUGCAAGAGUGACGCUACACAAUAUGCGACAGGAUCGUGAUGUCACUGUCCGGAGUUACGGCGCUAGACUUAAAGGACAGGCCGGUAGAUGCAAGUUUGUGGCCCGGAUGUACAACCGACGUCAAUUAUACUGACGCUACCAUGCGUACUUACCCGAGGAAUUACCGAUCCGGAAAAACAACUUGAUCUGCUAAGACACAAAAAUCAGGACAUGAGUCUUGAGGAUGUAUUUUAAUUUGUUGCGUCACUUUAUAAUAAGACAUGAAAAUUACUCAUCAUUUUAUCAUGCGACAUGACACUUCUUGGUGGCUAAGAACAACUAGGUCUGGUCACGGUUGUAUAUAACAGUAGGAACACGUACAACACAUUUCUGUAAAUUGUAAAUAUUUACCCCUUAUGUACUACUGAUCGUGAUGUAUGAAUGCCCGAAAUGAACAAAUGCUUUUUUUAUUUUUAUAGUGCUGGACUGAAAAUGUGUUUUCUUUCAUAUAAUGUUCCUAUUUAGACUUCCUGAGGCUGGUAUUUGAAUACAUGAUUCACUUUACGGUUUAAAUUUCUAUUUACGGGAAAUCUGUGUUUUACAUAUUAUUCUGAAGUACUGAAUAAGAGGUUGUUUUAGCAUAUACAUGAUACGUUUGAGGAAUUCAUGUGAUAUCUAUGAAUAUAUUCAACAGAUGAAGAAAUGUCAAAAAGGAUUUUCCAUAUCAUUGAUCCAUGCUUUUUAAUUACAUGUAUCUUGUUUAAAACAGAACGCAUGUGACUGAUCCAUGCUUAUAGUAUACACAAUGUUGCAAAAUAAUACAUCUGACUGAUGUAUGUUUAUAAUACUCCGUGUUACAAAAUAUUAUAUCUGACUGAUGUAUGUUUUUAGUACAUCACAUGAUAAUUUCUAGGAUAUACCUUUUUAGUAGCGUGACGCUAAGAGUGGUGCCCCUUCUCCUAGGGAGCGCUGUACAUAUUCUACUUUCAAUUCAUUGUUGUAGUCUGCAAUAAUGGCUUCGAUAUUCGGGACCGGGAAUGCCGAUUGCUUCGUAGAAGCUCAGCAAUGCAUAAAGACGAAGCAGGCGACACAACUUGCCGUCGCAGUCCUUAAAGACUUCCUACUGGAAAGGGAAACCGUAUGUGACUUAGCGGUGAUUCAAUCCAGUGAAUUGAACGGUGUUUUGGUGGAUUUCUAUGCCAAUAUACGCAAUAAGGCAAGGUUUUCGGUGGCAUUUACAAGAACCAUCAUGUGGCAGAGAAUGACAGUCAUGUGAUGUACUAAAUCUAUUAUGACCCUUUUCCGAGGGAACUGUUCUCUUAUAGUGUCGUCUGGGGAGGUAUAGUGCCCGAGCCGUUAGAAUAGUAGUACACAGUGUUACAAAAUAAUAUAUCUGACUGAUGUAUGUUUAUAAUACUCCGUGUUACAAAAUAGUAUAUCUGACUGAUGUAUGUUUAUAAUACACAGUGUUACAAAAUAUUAUAUCUGACUGGUGUAUGUCUAUAAUACACCGUGUUACAAAAUAGUAUAUCUGACUGUUGUAUGUUUAUAAUACACAGUGUUACAAAAUAUUAUAUCUGACUGGUGUAUGUCUAUAAUACUCCGUGUUACAUAAUAUUAUAUCUGACUGAUGUAUAUUUAUAAUCCUCCGUGUUACAAAAUAGUAUAUCUGACUGAUGAAUGUCUAUAAUACUCCGUGUUACAAAAUAUUAUAUCUGACUGAUGUAUAUUUAUAAUACUCCGUGUUACAAAAUAGUAUAUCUGACUGAUGUAUGUCUAUAAUACUCCGUGUUACAAAAUAGUAUAUCUGACUGAUGUAUAUUUAUAAUACUCCGUGUUACAAAAUAUUAUAUCUGACUGAUGUAUGUUUAUAAUACUCCGUGUUACAAAAUACUAUAUCUGACUGAUGUAUAUUUAUAAUACUCCGUGUUACAAAAUAUUAUAUCUGACUG